UUCUCUGACUGUAGAUAUAUUUUAUUUAUGGAAUAUUCGUUAUGUAUCGCAACCUUGUUUGAUUAAUGAAACCAUGUUUUUAAAACAAUGGAUAUUAUGAGAAGUUUGUUAUUCAAACAAACAUCAAGGAAGCAUGUUAUUUUACACUUGCUAUAUGUACCAUUCAUUGUAUAUACGAUAUAAAGUACAGAUUGUGAAACUGGUAGAGUUAGGUUCCCAAUACAAGAACAGCAAUAUCGGCAAGAACAGCAUAUAUUUUUUGUAUCGUAAACAAUUUUAGAUAUUAAAUAAUGAGAUUCUCAUGUCUCGUUUGUGCUGUAAACACGGUGUAGGUAACCUGUGUAAUAUUAGAGAGGAGAAAUUGUAAAAUGAUGUUUUGACGAAGUACCUCUAUCCUAUUAGCGCUUUGUGACGAUUACUGAGUAGUUCCCUUGACCGUCGCAAGAGACAUCGUUGUUAAAAGGAAGUUGUUAAAAAGUGUAAUACAGAUUUUACUGAUGGUAUUAUAGCAAAAAAUCAGAGAAACUUGGAUUUUCGGUAAUUGUAUAUAAAGGGAUACAUUUCAUCGAUUUUAAUGAAAUUUAAAUAUGUAUCAGGGUGAAGAUUUUAUAUAUAAUAUGUAACCGCCGCUCAGUCAUAGUUUUCGAGAUAUUGGUGAAAAACUGUUGCUAUUAGACAUUGAAUUUUGUCUGUACGUGCACAUCAAUGGCACAUACACAUCACGGCGCGACAGCCAGCAAACGAUCUAUAACGGGUGAAUUCGUCGAAAAUGUGUUUAGUUUUUUUAGUUUCACAAUGUAUUUAAAUUUGAUCAAAAUCGCUGAGCUCUAUCCUUCUAUGCACAGUUACCAGAUUUUUUACUUUGACGCAAUCUACAGGUUGUCAGAGAACUAUCAGGAAAUAGUCACAAAUCGCCUGAGGGGUGUUCGAACACCUUUAUACUAUACUAUGACUGGAAGUGGCUCUAUCAUGGGACUUUCAGAAUCUAUAUAUACGAUUGUGCUUUAUAUGUACGCUAUACUAAGCUAUAUAUACUUACGUAACGGUGUCAGAGGCAUGCAUAGGUUAUGACGUAUUGGCAAUAGCGAAUAGAGGCAACCAGCCCCUGUGCUAUAAGGCCGAUUUCACACGAUGAUACGUGUAUGAAAUGUGGAUAUGCUAUAGUAUAUCUAACGAGGCGAGACAGUCGACUUUCGAAUGUCACUAGUCGGCAGCCAAUAGUUGCAACCGCAGUAAUCAAAUUUAGUUCACAUUCAUUGUCCCGUCACGUUGGAUAGACUACACUAUUUGGCGGUACUGAUUUCGUGCAUCUUGAGAAACUUGAUCACUGGCGAUACUUUUCUACAGAUCAAAGAACGAUCUAUACAGAUGAUUCACUCAAGAAUAAACGAUACUGCAUAUUUUAUUUCUGGAAAUAUAUCUCAUGCGUAUAUUGCGGUACGUAUUUUGCGGUACACGUAUCGUCGCGUGAAACCGGCUUAACGAUCUUAAUAUGGGGAAGAAGUUCAGAUUCACACACACACACACACACAAUGAGCCGCUGCAACGCGCAUGUGUACAGAAACACGAGGUAGACGCGGAGAGCAAAUCGUGCUUGAGUAUUGGCAUCGAGACGUUGUACGAAGUAGGAAAGCGAGAGUAAAGGAAAUGUGAAAAAGGCUAUUAAAUAAUGACUGUGCGUAACUAGUAUAAGAUUAAGAAUUUUGGAGUAUAAACGUAACGUCAAGGUUUCAUAUUUAGUUUCAGUUCCAUACAGUCAAGAACCUAAGUUGUCCUGGAUUGAAGUCACCACGUGGGGGUUUAAGCAGAGGUAUCGUAAUCAAAAACCCUCUGUAUGUCGUAAACGUGUACAUCAGACACGAUGAAAUAUGGUGUAGCUGAUUUAUUGUGAACAUUUUCCUAAAAUCCUGAUAAAAAGAUAAAAUUUUGCUUUAGGGGUUUACAUUAUAGACUUUUUAUACAUUAUGGUAGUUCAAAAAUGUAAGUCAUUAGGAGUCUAGCGGUUCAAAAAUUACAUAGGGAGGAAAAUUUUGAAUCGGAAUCUUCUACUUGCCAAGCGGGUAUUUUACUAAUUGAGCUAUCCAGAAAAGUAGGUGUCCGGUUGAGAAUUAAACUAUUGCAAGUUGCUGUCGAGAGUAUUUCUUCAGCGUUUGAGAGUAACUGUUUCAGAGGGAUGAGAUAGCUUACUCUCGAAUAGACCAUGAUCGAAGAGCUACUGGUACAAUGCGAAACAAUUUCAUAUUUUAAAAGUAGUAUAUCACGACAAUUCAUAACACGAGAAACCAGGUAAGUGAAGUGUAAUCAAGUAUGUAAUAGAACGAAAUAUACAAAUAUUAUCAGAAUAUCAAAAUUACAAGUGACACAAGAACCCAAAAAAAGAAAAAAUACAAAAAAGAAGAAGUAGCAGCGAUCCGAUAAAAAAAUGAACUUCAAAUUGGAUCUAUUUUGGGAUUUCGAAAUUUUUAAUUCCAGCUCUCGCAAUAAAUAUCACAAGAUCGUCACACAUGAAGGCAUCGGUGGUUAAUUGUAAAUAAAAGGAACUGGUUCAAUUAUACACUGAAUUUCUGUUGCGUUCAUUUGUACAAAAUUGCAAAACAUCUUGGUAUCAUCUUCAAUUCGAAAAUCCCUUCUAAAUAAUGAACAUUACAGAUAGUAAGCUUUCGAUAAAUGAUUGAAAUCCGAGUUCAACUUGGUUCAAAAUAUCGACUCCUCUGGUAUUAUAGUCCAGAAAAUUGUCAGUUUCCGAUCCUUCAUAAUAACAGUAAUUAAAUUGACAAAAUGAAGAGUCAUCAAGAUGAACGUGAAUGCACUAUAUACUACCAAAAAGAUAUUUCUCUUAUACAUACAAAUAAUGUAUUGUAUUUAUUGUAUUUAUUACCUCUUGUCUUUCGUCUGCGAGAGGCUUCCGGUUUGUAUAAUAUUCCUUACGAAAUUCAUAUAGCUGCUUUCCUUACGUUUAUUAUAUUUUACAAAUUCAUAACAUAUUCAUCAUUAAGGAUCUGGUACAAGUAUAAUUAUAAGACAUAAUAUAAGUGAAAUCUUCAAAUAAAGUAUGGUAAAUUUAGCUAUCAUAGUGAUGAAAAACAAAAUAUAUAAAUAAUGAAUAA